rnacentral:rRNA from 1 species
GACGAACGCUGGCGGCGUGCUUAACACAUGCAAGUCGAACGGAAAGGCCUGCUUUCCCUUGUGGUUUGCGGGUACUCGAGUGGCGAACGGAUGAGUAACACGCGAGUGAUCUGCCCCCAACUUGGGUAUAAGCAUGGGAAACUGGGUCUAAUUCUCGAUAGGACUGCAGGGUGGUGCCUGUGGUGGAAAUCGUUUUUCUAGUGGUUGGGGAUGAGCUCGCGGCCUAUCAGCUUGUUGGUGGGGUAAUGGCCUACCACGGCGGCGACGGGUAGCCGGACGGGGAUCGGGGACGGCGACAUUGGGACAGGGUUACGGCCCAGACGCCUGCGAGAAGCAGCGGAUGUGAAGCAAGGAGAGAAAGCGUGAGCCAGAAGCGGCGACGCAGUGAUGAGGAUGACGGCCUUCGGGUUGUAAGCUCCUUGCGACCAAGAGGAGGCCACGUGGUUGGGAGCGUGGUGACGGUAGUGAUAGAGGAAGCACCGGCUAACUACGUG